CACAGUGAUGUAUUCAUGUCUGUCGCUGGGUGGUGGAUGUGUUUUGUGAGCAGGAGCUGCAGGAGGAGAAGAACAGCCUGCAGGAGGAGAAGAGCAGCCUGCAGGAGGAGAAGAGCAGCCUGCAGGAAGAGAAGAGCAGCCUGCAGGAGGAGAAGAGCAGCCUGCAGGAGGAGAAGAGCAGCCUGCAGGAAGAGAAGAGCAGCCUGCAGGAAGAGAAGAGCAGCCUGCAGGAGGAGAAGAGCAGCCUGCAGGAGGAGAAGAGCAGCCUGCAGGAAGAGAAGAGCAGCCUGCAGGAGGAGAAGAGCAGCCUGCAGGAAGAGAAGAGCCGCCUGCAGGAGGAGAAGAGCAGCCUGCAGGAAGAGAAGAGCAGCCUGCAGGAGGAGAAGAGCAGCCUGCAGGAGGAGAAGAGCAGCCUGCAGGAAGAGAAGAGCAGCCUGCAGGAGGAGAAGAGCAGCCUGCAGGAAGAGAAGAGCCGCCUGCAGGAGGAGAAGAGCAGCCUGCAGGAAGAGAAGAGCAGCCUGCAGGAGGAGAAGAGCAGCCUGCAGGAGGAGAAGAGCAGCCUGCAGGAAGAGAAGAGCAGCCUGCAGGAGGAGAAGAGCAGUCUGCAGGAAGAGAAGAGCCGCCUGCAGGAGGAGAAGAACAGCCUGCAGGAAGAGAAGAGCAGCCUGCAGGAGGAGAAGAGCAGCCUGCAGGAAGAGAAGAGCCGCCUGCAGGAGGAGAAGAACAGCCUGCAGGAAGAGAAGAGCAGCCUGCAGGAGGAGAAGAGCAGCCUGCAGGAAGAGAAGAGCAGCCUGGAGGAGAAGAGCAGCCUGCAGGAGGAGAAGAGCAGCCUGCAGGAAGAGAAGAGCAGCCUGCAGGAGGAGAAGAGCAGCCUGCAGGAGGAGAAGAGCAGCCUGCAGGAGGAGAAGAGCAGCCUGCAGGAAGAGAAGAGCAGCCUGCAGGAGGAGAAGAGCAGCCUGCAGGAAGAGAAGAGCAGCCUGCAGGAGGAGAAGAGCCGCCUGCAGGAAGAGAAGAGCAGCCUGCAGGAGGAGUGUAAACACCUGGAGGCCAGGCGGAGGCACGCUGACAGGUACAUACAGUAUACAUACAUAUAUCAGUCCAUAUAUGCAGUUUUCCAGUUUUCCACAUUUUGCAGAAUGUGUUGAGAUGAAACCUCUCGUGUGUAUCAGGAGUCUGUCAGCGCUGGAGGAGGAGCUCGCUGCACUGAAGGAGGAGCACCGCCGCGCACAGCUGCUCAGACAGGAAGUGGUCAGAGACACAGCCACCGCUCAGGAGCAGCUUCACGAGAACUCUGAGCUGCUGUCUCUGCUCAGUGAGCGGCUGGAGGAGAAGAAGACACAGCUGCAGACUGUGGAGCAGGCGGUGUGUGUUAGACUGGAUGUUGGAGCUUCAGUGUGUCAGCUGGAGGACAGGGGGCGCCGUCUGACCGACCCGCAGCUCCGGGAGGAGCUCAAACCACAGGAGGAGGAGGAGCUAGAGCUGAACGGGGAGGGGCUAAAACAACAAGAGGAGGAGCUAGAGCUGAACGGGGAGGGGCUUGAAGAAAAAGAAGAACUACAAAAGACAGAAGAGGAGGUGAAGCAUCACAAACAAUUAAUAAAUCAACUAUAA
ensembl:lncRNA